AGAGGUAGGGACAGGGACAGAGGUAGGGACAGAGGCAGAGGUAGGGACAGAGGCAGAGGUAGGGACAGGGACAGAGGUAGGGACAGGGACAGAGGUAGGGACAGAGGUAGAGGUAGGGACAGGGACAGAGGUAGGGACAGGGACAGAGGUAGGGACAGAGGUAGGGACAGGGACAGAGGUAGGGACAGGGACAGAGGUAGGGACAGAGGUAGGGACAGGGACAGAGGUAGG